AUUACAUAUUUUCUACCAUAGUUCCUCUUUUGCCUGACUAUUCAAACAAAGAGAACAUGCCUCGUUUUAUUAAAGCUUAAGGAAGACCGUAUGGCUCAGGUGCCACCUGGCUGGUUUUCAUACUGGAGUGCCGGCUAAAAGGUUUAAUGUGCCGGGCUGUUUGUUUUCUUGUUUUCAUUUGAGACAUGUUAGAGUGCUCUGAAAAUCACACUCCCCAGUAAUCCAGACUGCAACGUCAAGUUAGGAUAGGAGUAUUACUUUGAUUGCACAGCCUGCUAUGCAAAUGGAACAAUGGGUCCAAAGAAAAAGCUCUUAGGACUGUUCUCUCAGCACAGAUGAACCAACAAGAUCUGACAUUAACAAUCUCACUCACGCUGAGCCCCUGAAGCCCUGCAGUGCUGCUGAAAACCACUAGCUAUCAAAUGAAC